GAUGAACGCUGGCGGCGUGCCUAAUACAUGCAAGUCGAGCGAACAGACGAGGAGCUUGCUCCUCUGAUGUUAGCGGCGGACGGGUGAGUAACACGUGGAUAACCUACCUAUAAGACUGGGAUAACUUCGGGAAACCGGAGCUAAUACCGGAUAACAUGUUGAACCGCAUGGUUCAACAGUGAAAGACGGUCUUGCCGUCACUUAUAGAUGGAUCCGCGCCGCAUUAGCUAGUUGGUAAGGUAACGGCUUACCAAGGCAACGAUGCGUAGCCGACCUGAGAGGGUGAUCGGCCACACUGGAACUGAGACACGGUCCAGACUCCUACGGGAGGCAGCAGUAGGGAAUCUUCCGCAAUGGGCGAAAGCCUGACGGAGCAACGCCGCGUGAGUGAAGAAGGUCUUCGGAUCGUAAAACUCUGUUAUUAGGGAAGAACAAAUGUGUAAGUAACUAUGCACGUCUUGACGGUACCUAAUCAGAAAGCCACGGCUAACUACGUG
rnacentral:rRNA from 1 species